AUGCAGAAGACUCUGGAGGAGGACAACGUGCUGGUGAUAAAGAGCGCCAACCGGAAGCGGAAGCGGGAGGAGGAGGAAGCGGACUGCCGCUACAUCCGGCCGGAGAGCCGCGCGUCGCCACGGUCGUUCGUGCGCAAGUUCCGGCUGCCGGAGAAGGCAGACACAGGCGCCAUGGCCGCCCGCUGCGAGAGCGGCGUGUUCACCGUCAGCCUCAAGAAGCAGCCGCCGCCAGAGAAGAAGGCCAAGUCCGUCCAGGUCGCCAUCGCCUGA
rnacentral:rRNA from 1 species